CAAAAGAAGUAGGUAGCUUAACCUUCGGGAGGGCGCUUACCACUUUGUGAUUCAUGACUGGGGUGAAGUCGUAACAAGGUAACCGUAGGGGAACCUGCGGUUGGAUCACCUCCUUACCUGAAGAUAC
rnacentral:rRNA from 4 species